UUGGAGGGCAAGUCUGGUGCCAGCAGCCGCGGUAACUCCAGCUCCAAUAGCGUAUAUUAAAGUUGUUGCAGUUAAAAAGCUCGUAGUUGAACUUCGGGAUCAAUUAGUUGGUCAUGCCUUGGUAUGUACUGAUUUUAUUGGUUCUCACCUUCUAAAGAACUAUAAUGUCAUUUAUUUGAUGUUAUAGGGAAUUAGGACUGUUACCUUGAAAAAAUUAGAGUGUUUAAGGCAGGCUCACGCUUGAAUACAUUAGCAUGGAAUAAUGAAAUAGGACAUCGCAUUCUAUUUUGUUGGUUUCUAGGAUCGAUGUAAUGAUUAAUAGGGAUAGUUGGGGGCAUUAGUAUUCAAUUGUCAGAGGUGAAAUUCUUGGAUUUAUUGAAGACUAACUACUGCGAAAGCAUUUGCCAAGGAUGUUUUCAUUAAUCAAGAACGAAAGUUAGGGGAUCGAAGACGAUCAGAUACCGUCGUAGUCUUAACCAUAAACUAUGCCGACUAGGGAUCGGAUGAUGUUGAUUUUUUAAUGACUCAUUCGGCACCUUACGGGAAACCAAAGUGUUUGGGUUC
rnacentral:rRNA from 1 species